AUCAGAGAUAACAGCCGGCAAUUUUCUCGGAACAAUAUCUCCCUCCCUCGAUAGUAUUCACGUCGCUGAACCGAGCAUGCCGACACACAUUAGCGAGGAACUGCUUGUCGUAAUAAUGUGGAUUUUCCUGUCUAUGAUAAAGAGUUAACGUAAAACAAGUUGAAUUAACCCUCAAACUGCAAACCAAGGUCAUUUGUGUCAGCGCAAAAUCUACUUGCGUUUAUAACUUACAGACGAGAGAAGGGAGAGCGGUCUGACUCCGUCUUAAAAAAAAGUUGUAUAAGAGAGGAAUCUAAGGGCCAAAUUCAGAUCUUCGAUACAACUUCGACAGCCACAGUGAUAAAACAAAAUCUCGAGCGGAGAAGAACGAUCCUGAUUUGCGGACUACUUUCGAAAUAGAGCAGCGCUCUUCCGACGAGCUAACUCUGGGUGCUUUGAUCAAAAGAACAGAUUGA